CCACCAAGGCGACGAUCCGUAGCUGGUCUGAGAGGAUGAUCAGCCACACUGGAACUGAGACACGGUCCAGACUCCUACGGGAGGCAGCAGUGGGGAAUAUUGGACAAUGGGCGCAAGCCUGAUCCAGCCAUACCGCGUGGGUGAAGAAGGCCUUCGGGUUGUAAAGCCCUUUUGUUGGGAAAGAAAUCCAGCCGGUUAAUACCUGGUUGGGAUGACGGUACCCAAAGAAUAAGCACCGGCUAACUUCGUGCCAGCAGCCGCGGUAAUACGAAGGGUGCAAGCGUUACUCGGAAUUACUGGGCGUAAAGCGUGCGUAGGUGGUUGUUUAAGUCUGUUGUGAAAGCCCUGGGCUCAACCUGGGAACUGCAGUGGAAACUGGACAACUAGAGUGUGGUAGAGGGUAGCGGAAUUCCCGGUGUAGCAGUGAAAUGCGUAGAGAUCGGGAGGAACAUCCAUGGCGAAGGCAGCUACCUGGACCAACACUGACACUGAGGCACGAAAGCGUGGGGAGCAAACAGGAUUA
rnacentral:rRNA from 1 species